GAGUCUAGAUAAGAAGGGAUAUCCAACUGUGUCACCACCUAUCUAAGUGCUAUUGAAAAACAUGAACCUAGUGUUAAUGAACAUGCAGAGAGUAUGCCUUGCGCAUGCUCCAGGCCCCUAGAUGCGAGCUUCAUUAUCAUACUUUGCAUUGUUCGUGUUUCGAAUGUUUACGAUUUUAACGUAAAAAUGUCCACCGUUUGAACGCUAAAUAUGAUAUCAGAUGAUUGAAUUCUUUCUCGAGAGAGUACUGCAGGCUUUAUGAGUUAUUGAAUAUUGCUUAUGUUAUGUUUUUGUGCGCCAUGUUGGUGCAUAAAUACGGAUUAAAAUGUGAACGGAGAACAUGUUGUUUGAGGUUGUGCUAUUAAAAUGGCGGCGAUAUUUCAGUACACGUGUCUUACUUACUGAAUAACUAGACAUCGCGGGUAUCUCUGUUCAAAUGUUCCACAGGCGAUGUACCGACGGUCUGAGAAUAGAAGUAUUAGAUGCAAAGCUUAGUUAUCUCAUUCAUGUAUCAAGAAAGUUUACCAAAAUUGGCGCUCAAGCUGAAAUUAGGCAUCCUUAGGAGGAUUCCUCGAGGAUGUAUCGUGAACACAAUUAAGUAAAGACAUAGAGGAGAUAAAUGCUAGUUAGGUGUAGAAUAAAACAGCUGUAAAAUAUCCCCGAAUUCGAUAUUUUUGCUUUUGAUGAUAGCCUGUCAUGCUUAUUUAAAUAAGGGUAACAACUUAAU